AACGAACGCUGGCGGCAUGCCUAACACAUGCAAGUCGAACGAGACCUUCGGGUCUAGUGGCGCACGGGUGCGUAACGCGUGGGAAUCUGCCCUUAGGUACGGAAUAACAGUGAGAAAUUACUGCUAAUACCGUAUGAUGUCUUCGGACCAAAGAUUUAUCGCCUAGGGAUGAGCCCGCGUAGGAUUAGCUAGUUGGUGGGGUAAAGGCCUACCAAGGCGACGAUCCUUAGCUGGCUGAGAGGAUGAUCAGCCACACUGGGACUGAGACACGGCCCAGACUCCUACGGGAGGCAGCAGUGGGGAAUAUUGGACAAUGGCGGAAAACCUGAUCCAGCAAUGCCGCGUGAGUGAAGAAGGCC
rnacentral:rRNA from 1 species